rnacentral:misc_RNA from 1 species
UAGGGAGGUAUCUUGCUGCAGCUGAGGAUAAUGCUGUGUCUAUUCUAGAUGUUGAGACUCAAGCUCGUCAGGAUUUAUUACAGGGACAUGUUAAACCAAUUCAGUUUCUGUGCUGGGAUCCUUCAGGCGAGUAUAUAGCAUCUGUCAGUGAGGAUGCUAUCAGACUCUGGAAACUUGGAUCAGGGGGUGAGGGAGAAUGCAUUCAAGAGUUGAUUUCUAAUGGCUGCAAAUUCCACUCUUGUGUUUUUCAUCCUGNCUUCAUUGCUAAUCAUUGGCUGUGACCAGUCUUUGGAGCUUUGGAACACGGCCGAGAACAAGUCUAUGACCGUUCCAGCUCAUGAAGGAUUAAUUGCUUCAUUAGCUGUAUCAACUGUGACUCGGUUGGUUGCUUCUGCCAGUCAUGAUAAGUUUGUCAAGCUGUGGAUUUGACUCUGCUAGUUCAUUGUCAUUUAAGCGGUUCUAGCUUGUUUAUUUUGGCUGCAUAAUUUCCCACUUUGCGUUUUUUCAAGUUUAGCUCCUCAAACCCCUGAAGCUAACCUUGUUUGUCACAUGUCACUGAUUUUAAGCAAAUGAAAGUUCAAGCCUCUUGAGCUUUGGAAUUGGACCUGAUAAUAAAUGAGUUCUGAAACCCAGCCAAAAUCAAGACGAGUACCUGCAAGACGAGUGGAUACCUGCAAUCAAAGAGGAGUUUAGAGAGCUCUCAGCCUAAUGCUGGGAGUUUCAACCCAAGUCAGAAACCUUGUAAUGAAAUAGGAUACGCUUGAGAAAAUAUAUUGUAGUGGAUUAUAAUAUGUUGUAUGAAGUUNAAUAUGUUGUAUGAAGUUAUUUUCAUAUCUGCUAAGAUGUGUUGUUAUGGUUGAAGAGUCUAAAUUAUAAUUACACUAUGUUAUUAGGACCUUUUUUGGGAUAAAUAAUAUUUGUUUUAUUAGUGGGAAAAU